UAAAUGUCUUCCUUUAUAAGAGUUGCUGUGGUCAUGGUGUCUCUUCACAGCAAUAGAAACCCGAACUAAGACACCAUGUGAGACAAUAUUUUAUACUCAGGAUGGAGGGAAGAAAGGAGAGAGAGAAGAGAAGGAGGAGGACGAGUUGGUAAAUUUGUAAUUAUGACCUUUGUGUUCCAUUUGGUAAGAAUACAGAAUGUAGGUCUGGUGUAGAAAACAACACCACUCUUCAAAAACACAAAAUCAGAAUCAGCUAGUUUCGGCAAUUGCCUUGCUGGGGACACUUUCAUAAGGACUGAAAACAGGAUUUUGAAGGGAGAUUUACAUACUCAACUUACAGCAGCAGUGUUCACCAAGUGUAGGAGCAACCUUUAUGUCCACAGAUCGAUGGAUGGAAAACCAGAAGGUGACAUUUUACUUAGCCCCGAGGAAGAGAAUCAGCAACAUGCUACAGCAAGAUAGAUAUGCGAAGUAAGCAGCUUGCAAAAAAGAUAGCUCUUUUCCAGCUUUCUCUUUGCUGUGACAGGAUGCUUGACAUAGUUGAUCUGGGCUCACAGUCUCAGAGGGCUCCAUCCCUAGUCCCUGGCUCUAAUUCAUUCUGGGCCUGUGGUGAAGAAGAACCUCAUGGCAGAUGGAGUCUGGAGGAGGGGCCAUCCAGAGUUAAACAAAACAAGAUAAAACAACAACAACAACAACAACAACCCCUGCUGAUGGUCUUGCCUUCUCUGGCCAGCCCAGCAGGGGAAGCAGACCUUCUUCUCAGAACUCCUGGAAGUGAUUACUCUUUCCACGCCUGGGCUGAUGAUACCCCAACCGGCUUCUUCUGUGUGUGACAUUCGAGAUUCCUUUUUGACAAGCCGUUUGAAGGCAGGGAUAAAAUCUUUACCUUUUUAUUUCCCCCCCCAUGGCACCUCACACUGUCUCAAGCCUAAUAACAGUUCAAUUAAUAUCUGCUGACUGGAUCCUCACUUCCCUUGAUGUGUUUUGGUCCGCGAGUUGGCGGGUGAUGGAUGGAAGAGAGAGCAGCCGCUAAGGAGAAGGGCAUGAGGGAACGCGCCGGGCUGCCAGUUUAUUUUCCACGCGUUGCCUGUGAAUUGUCUGGGCAGCUACAUCCCCCUGUGGUCAAACUUACACAUAUUCGUAUUAUUUUUUACUGGUACCUAGAUGGAGGCGGUACCGUGAGGACGUGAGGUAGAUUAGUUGUAAGAGAAUGGUGGUGAGGCUGAGAAAUGUCGGUGGACAUGAGCCUGACCUGCACCUCCUCUGGAAAACAGGUCUGUAACUCUCCUCAGCCACCCAGCUCAGGGUCUCACAGAUCUUCCGACAGAUCUUCCGCGGGGAAGAAGCCGUCCUCCUGACCUCUCCCUUCCCCUCCCCACCUCCGUGUAAACUUCUUCUCGGCUGAAAUGGAGACAUUCUCUUGUCGCCUUCGCCCUUGUACACUCUUUUUAAAAACUGGACUCGAACAGAAUAAAGAUCCCUCCCGUAAGAAAUCAAAUCUACUCUCGGAACAUUACAGAUUUACUAUCUUGGAGCAGAUUCACAACAAGGAAAACAAAGACUGCGAAACGGCAGCAAGGGACACAGGACGGUGGCAGCCGUGGAAAUGGCCACAGCACCGGGAGGAGGGACUUCUCAACGUCCACCCUGCAAGGGACAGCAAGGCCAGGGCGGUGAGCGCUGGGGUGUGCGAGUCCCAUCGCCCAUCCCUGGGACCAAAUACCCAGCGAAAGCAACGGAAGGGAAAGGAGGAUUUGUUUCACCCGUGGUUUGAAGAGAUGCAGUCCCUCAUGGUGGCCCCAAAUCAACAGAGCCUAUUAUGACUGAGACUUCUGAAACAGUGACCCCAAAUAAGCCAUUGCCUCUCAUACAGCUUGGGUAUGUUGUCACAGCAGCACAAGUUUCCUGACACACACUCAAGGUAUUCCUCACUCACUGCUUCCAGCAGAGUAGCUGUUUGAAAGACAGUUGGGUCCUUCUCCUUCUCUUUGGGCUCUGCUUGCAAAUGCACCUAACAGACCUGCUACUCCUCCAAGCACCGAUUCUAACUCCUGCUGGUCUACACUCGAUCCAUCUGGAAAGCUUCCCGGAAGGACAUGAUUAGGGCCAGCAGUUGGGUAAACUCGCAGGUGUCUGCCACACAUCAACUCAUGCGACCCUAAGAGGCAGGUAGGCCUUCUAGUGGUCCUUGCUUUAUGGAUGGGGAAAUCAAGGCUCGGAGAGGUGAGCAAAUCGACCAGCCCCACGUGGCUGCUCAGUGCAAAUGACUUGUCAAGGAAGUGGAAUGGAGAACAUCUCAGUGGCCUCCUCAGGCCUGGACUGCACUCAGGAGUUUGCGGAUCAGCAGGAUACCGUGACACACACAUCUGUAACCCCAGCACUCAGGAGCGGAAGGUAGGAGAGUCUUGAGAUUGUGAGUUUGAGGCCAGGUUUGGCCACAUAGUGAGUCCGUUCUUAGAAAAAAAGAAAAGUAAAAGGAAUUUACAUUUUAAUCCAAAUGAAUUCAUUACUUAAUCACAUUUACCAUUUGUCCUCCUUCUAAUGCCUGGGUUCCAGGAGGCCAAAUUUUUUGCCUUUUUUUUUUUUUAUUAACUGCUGAAUCUCAAGUAACUAGAACCAUGGGAGCACAC